rnacentral:rRNA from 1 species
AUUGAACGCUGGCGGCAGGCCUAACACAUGCAAGUCGAACGAGUGGCGGACGGGUGAGUAAUGUCUGGGAAACUGCCUGAUGGCGGGGGAUAACUACUGGAAACGGUAGCUAAUACCGCAUACCCUCGGAUGUGCCCAGAUGGGAUUAGCUAGUAGGUGGGGUAAAGGCUCACCUAGGCGACGAUCCCUAGCUGGUCUGAGAGGAUGAACAGCCACACUGGGACUGAGACACGGGCCAGACUCCUACGGGAGGCAGCAGUGGGGAAUAUUGCACAAUGGGCGCAAGCCUGAUGCAGCCAUGCCGCGUGUAUGAAGAAGGCCUUCGGGUUGUAAAGUACUUUCAGCGGGGAGGCGUUACCCGCAGAAGAAGCACCGGCUAACUCCGUGCCAGCAGCCGCGGUAAUUC